rnacentral:rRNA from 1 species
CAGCAGCCGCGGGAAUACGAAGGGUGCAAGCGUUACUCGGAAUUACUGGGCGUAAAGCGUGUGUAGGUGGUUGUUUAAGUCUGUCGUGAAAGCCCUGGGCUCAACCUGGGAAUUGCGAUGGAUACUGGGCGACUAGAGUGCGGUAGAGGAUAGUGGAAUUUCCGGUGUAGCAGUGAAAUGCGUGGAGAUCGGAAGGAACAUCUGUGGCGAAGGCGACUAUCUGGGCCAACACUGACACUGAGACACGAAAGCGUGGGGAGCAAGCAGGAUUAGAUACCCCUGUAGUCCCUGUCUCUUAUAA